CGUGCCUAAUACAUGCAAGUCGAAACGCACUCUCGUUUAGGAUUGAAGGAGCUUGCUCCUGAUUGAUAAACAUUUGAGUGAGUGGCGGACGGGUGAGUAACACGUGGGUAACCUGCCCUAAAGUGGGGGAUAACAUUUGGAAACAGAUGCUAAUACCGCAUAAAACCUAACACCGCAUGGUGUAGGGUUGAAAGAUGGUUUCGGCUAUCACUUAGGAUGGACCCGCGGUGCAUUAGUUAGUUGGUGAGGUAAAGGCUCACCAAGACCGUGAUGCAUAGCCGACCUGAGAGGGUAAUCGGCCACACUGGGACUGAGACACGGCCCAGACUCCUACGGGAGGCAGCAGUAGGGAAUCUUCCACAAUGGACGAAAGUCUGAUGGAGCAACGCCGCAUGAGUGAAGAAGGUUUUCGGAUCGUAAAACUCUGUUGUUGGAGAAGAAUGUAUCUGAUAGUAACUGAUCAGGUAGUGACGGUAUCCAACCAGAAAGCCACGGCUAACUACGUGCCAGCAGCCGCGGUAAUACGUAGGUGGCAAGCGUUGUCCGGAUUUAUUGGGCGUAAAGCGAGCGCAGGCGGUUUCUUAAGUCUGAUGUGAAAGCCUUCGGCUCAACCGAAGAAGUGCAUCGGAAAACUGGGAAACUUGAGUGCAGAAGAGGACAGUGGAACUCCAUGUGUAGCGGUGAAAUGCGUAGAUAUAUGGAAGAACACCAGUGGCGAAGGCGGCUGUCUGGUCUGUAACUGACGCUGAGGCUCGAAAGCAUGGGUAGCAAACAGGAUUAGAUACCCUGGUAGUCCCAUGCCCGUAAAACGAUGAAGUGCUAGGUGUUUGGGAGGGGUUUCCGCCCUUCAGUGCCGC
rnacentral:rRNA from 1 species